GCUGAUAUGGCUCAGUUGGUAGAGCGCACCCGUUGGUAAGGGUGAGGUCCCCAGUUCGACUCUGGGUAUCAGCACCA
rnacentral:tRNA from 1 species